UACGGAGGAUGCAAGCGUUAUCCGGAAUGAUGGGGCGUAAAGGGUCCGCAGGUGGCAGUGUAAGUCUGCUGUCAAAGAAUGAGGCUUAACCUCAUCAAGGCAGUGGAAACUACACAGCUAGAGUACGGUCGGGGUAGAAGGAAUUCCUGGUGUAGCGGUGAAAUGCGCAGAUAUCAGGAGGAACACCGAUGGCGAAGGCAGCUCGCUGGGACGGUACUGACGCUGAGGCGCGAAAGCGUGGGGAGCAAACAGG
rnacentral:rRNA from 1 species